GCUUUUUCUGUAGAAACUUUAAUUUUCAUUAUUGUUGAUUUGUUGUCUUUUUAGGAGAAACCUGACAAUCAUAGUUACUGCUGGUUUGGGCUUAGUCUGUUUUAGUUGCUAUAUAACUGCACUUUUGCUUCUUAUAGCAUCCAAACUUGAAAUAUAAAUUUUGAUUCAGAAAAGCUCAAGGGAUUUACUUAAAUCAAGCUGAAUUAAAUUGAAAUCCCCAACACCCUAAGAGUCAAGGCUUUAACACAAUUUGUUUGAGUCUAUCGUAAUUAAUUUAUCCUGCUCAGCAUUUUAUUUCUUUUUUUUGUGUUAUUUUAAGAAAAUGUACACAUGACUGCCCAAUCCAAACCUCCUGAUGGGUUGUUUCAUGUGUACUGGGAAUGGGAGAGGAAGUGGGGACGGAGAACGGAGGGGCACCGAGACAUCAGUGGGUAACACUAUUCUUGUUUUUGUUUUUUGUUUUUUUGUUUUUUUUCCCAAAUAAACUGUGUGAGAUGUGGUGAGAUGAUUAAAAACUGACAUUAGUGGAUUUUUACUGUGUAUUUUUUUCUUUCCCACUUAUCGAAUUAACAUUUUCCCAUUUUCUUCAGAUUUAUUCUAUUUCAACCAUGUUCUGACGAUGCCAGGUAACAGAGGGCUGUUGCUUCAAUUGCCAGGUUUUCUAAUGCUCAUAAAACAAAUAUUAGAUUCCAAAUUUCUUAUUGCCUUCUGAGUUGUCAUGGUUAUCAAAUGACACCUUCUCUAAAUUCUCUCUCAUUUUAACUCUUUUUCAUGCUUUGUAUAAACAGGCUGCUUGAAAAUCAAGGGGAAAAAAAAAAAACAUCAAGUUUGGGUGCUAUAAGAAGCAAGAAACACAGAAGGAAAGAAAUAUUUUGUUAACCACAAAUUGAAAGUGGAAAGAUUUUAUCCAGAAGCAUUAAAUGUCAUUAAACAUAAGAAGUCUAAAAAAUACCUGCUUUAUAUAAUGGUUCUCUGAACAAGCUCUCGGCAACUUGCAGCCUGCUAAAUUUUAUUUACUAUAGAUCCACCCAUACAGCUUGUUUGUGCUUAUGUGCGAAGUAUUACAGCAAAUAAAGAGACAACAAUGGAGAACCUAAGAGCCACACAGACAUGAAGAAUGUUCCUGGAGCAACAUUACCAUUUUUCAUAGUUGGAAAAACUGAGUAUCCUACAGUAGACAGAGAAUUUAAAUAUUUAUAGAACAAAAGCUGAUAAUAAAGGAAGACAUGCUGUCAGACCUCAAGAUAUACAGAGAAGUAACAGUUACGUUGACAAAAGAAUAUUACAAGAAUAAAUAUUUUACCUAAGAAAACACCUUUAGCUACUUCACUGCUAAGAUACUGUCAGUGGGGCCCAUUAUACUUAAAACCACUCCGAAGAGCAGAAAGAAGUUUCGGUUACACAUUUCACGCCAUCCUUCUACAUCAGAAGUGAAUGGUGUACACUUCUCAAUGGCAUCGUUUUCCCCCUUCCCACAUGAGUUUCGAAACCAUCUCAUAAGCCUGUCAGGCAUAUUUCUUGUUCAUUCCUUCUGUGGGGCAGAGGCAGACAGAUUGCUGGAUCAGAUAGUGCAAUACGCUGUAUACUGCAUUUGAAAUGUGCCUUUUUUUAAAGCAGCAGAUUUAUUGAUUUUCUUAAGUAGAAAAUAUGCACCCGGACAUUAGACAAACACAGACUAAACACAGACUGAGGAAAAGCUGAUAAUUUGAUUAAACUGACUGAGCUUUUGUUGUCUGUGUUUGGGGAAUUUCCAAUAAUGCUCAAGUGCCAAGCGCCCCUCUUCUACUGAAUUUAACAAAUGUAAUCCCUAAGCACAAUGAAUGUUACAAUUAUACUGUAUUUGGAGAAUUGUUUUUCCUCAGAAAAAUAUUUUGAUGAGCCUAUAUAUUGCUUAGGUUGAAAGGAAGGGUGGGGUGAAAAUCUUGCCUUGCUCAAGAUACAGGACUUUAUUCAGAAAGGGGUCUAAGUAUUAGCUAGGCAAAAAGCAUUCAUUCAGUGGAAAUAUUUUCUUUCUUUCUAUCUACAUACCUAUCAAGAUUACAGAGAUAUAAUUGAUUAAAUGUAAUUUCCUCAAUUUUAGGGUCAAAUUGAGUUCAAUAUUUAAGGUUUAUAAUGCUUCACAGUGUCAUUUCACAUGUCGUAGGGAACAGUUUAGUUGUCUCAAGACGUCAAAAAGCUCUGGUUAUUUAAUUUACUCUUAUGGAUGCCUGCAAUGAAAUUAGUGGCAGAAAGGGUGUGUGUGUGUGUGUGUGUGUGUGUGUGUGUGUGUGUACAGGGAUAAGGGAAUCAUAGUUAAAAUUAUGUGAGGAUUACUGAGUUUUAUGAAUCAAUUGAGUGAGCCCUUGUGAACAUCAACUAUAAACACCUCUGAGCUGUCCCUGUAUUUUUUUUUUUUAAAUCAUUUAGACUAUGGCAUCGAGAACAAAAUCUAAUUCCCUUAUAUUCUGCAAGGACUGUACCACAAAAAUUUCUAGCCGCUUAACCACAAAGACUUUCACCUUUAUUAUUAUCUAUGCCUCUGCUUACUAGAUUUUUAAUCAUUCAUAGUGUUCCUCACCUUUUAUUUACCAUUCUUUUGCAAUGUUAUUUUGUUCCUUCUUUUCCACUGGCUCAAACUUCAGGAUUUUAUGUGUUGCCAUUAUGAUAUUUAAUCACCUGCUAGUUUUUGUCCUGUCCAGUUCAUAUUGGAUAGCUUUCCCAAAACUCUCUACUCCAGUUAAUCUAACUAAUAAUACAUCUGGUUACAAAUUUUCACAAGUUUGUUGAGUAUAUUUCAACUCUAGGCUCUUUUCCUUGGCCUAUACUUUUUCCCAAGCAUAGGCUUAGACCCUAAAUAGGUAAUCAUUAAGGUGACCAGAUAGAAUCAUAACCUAGAAGGUCACCGCUUAACAACUGCUCAUCCAUAAUGGGACAGCUGAACUAUUAGUAAGAUCAUCUCAGUUUUGUUUUUACUUACCGAAAUGAAUUUCAAUUACAGAUUCUACUGUUCUUUUUAAAUUUCCUUUGAGUCAAGGAUAUUGAUGCACAAAUUAAGGUAACACUGAAGUUUAAAAUCACUUUGCCUUCCUUGUAUUAAUAUAGGAAUUUAUUUAAUGAUUCAUUUCAGCUGGCCUGAGGAUGUUUAAACAGAGCCACAUAGGAGAUAGAUUUAAAGAUAAUUUAAAUCCAUCCUUUUUCUGACUUGCCUCUCUGCCUUUCCAACUGUAUGACAAAGAUAAUUUUCACUAACUCUUUUUCAUCCCUCACAAACUCAUUAGGGAAAUAACAUGUAAAAAAUAAGUUGCCAAUUUUUAGAGAACAUUUUAUAAUUGUGUGAAGCUUAUCAUAAUAACAUCCAACGACA